GCCUUCGUGGUGUAAUGGUCAACACACUCGGCGCGUAAUGGAGAGGUCCAUGGUUAGAGUCCCGGCGAGGGCA
rfam:Stegodyphus mimosarum contig66087, whole genome shotgun sequence.